rnacentral:rRNA from 1 species
GACGAACGCUGGCGGCGUGCUUAACACAUGCAAGUCGAACGGAAAGGCCUCUUUCGGGGGGUACUCGAGUGGCGAACGGGUGAGUAACACGUGAGUAACCUGCCCUUGACUUUGGGAUAACUUCAGUAAACUGGGGCUAAUACCGGAUAGGAGCUCCUGCUGCAUGGUGGGGGUUGGAAAGUUUCGGCGGUUGGGGAUGGACUCGCGGCUUAUCAGCUUGUUGGUGGGGUAGUGGCUUACCAAGGCUUUGACGGGUAGCCGGCCUGAGAGGGUGACCGGCCACAUUGGGACUGAGAGACGGCCCAGACUCCUACGGGAGGCAGCAGGGGGGAAUAUUGCACAAUGGGUGGAAGCCUGAUGCAGCAACGCCGUGUGCGGGAUGACGGCCUUAGGGUUGUAAACCGAUUUCGCUCAUGACGAAGCUUUGUGUGACGGUAGUGGGUAAAGAAGCACCGGCUAACUACGUG